GACGAACGCUGGCGGCGUGCCUAAUACAUGCAAGUAGAACGCUGAAGGAGGAGCUUGCUUCUCUGGAUGAGUUGCGAACGGGUGAGUAACGCGUAGGUAACCUGCCUGGUAGCGGGGUAUAACUAUUGGAAACGAUAGCUAAUACCGCAUAAUAGUAGAUGUUGCAUGACAUUUGCUUAAAAGGUGCAAUUGCAUCACUACCAGAUGGACCUGCGUUGUAUUAGCUAGUUGGUGAGGUAACGGCUCACCAAGGCGACGAUACAUAGCCGACCUGAGAGGGUGAUCGGCCACACUGGGACUGAGACACGGCCCAGACUCCUACGGGAGGCAGCAGUAGGGAAUCUUCGGCAAUGGACGGAAGUCUGACCGAGCAACGCCGCGUGAGUGAAGAAGGUUUUCGGAUCGUAAAGCUCUGUUGUAAGAGAAGAACGAGUGUGAGAGUGGAAAGUUCACACUGUGACGGUAUCUUACCAGAAAGGGACGGCUAACUACGUG
rnacentral:rRNA from 1 species